GCAUUAGUGGUUCAGUGAUAGAAUUAUCACCUUCUAUGCAGAAGAUCUGGAUUCGAUUCCCAGCCAACGCA
rnacentral:tRNA from 1 species